CGAGCGGGUAUAGUGGGCGCUCGCCGAGGGGGCGCUCAAGAUGGCGGCUGCCGGGACGGGGCGUACAGGGCUUCCUUCUGGGAGUUGCCUGCGGUGGGUCGGUGAAAAGAGAACGAAUAUCAAUGCGCAGCCGUAGUUGGACGCUUCGAGUUGACCCACCACUGACCCGAUUCUGUGGUUCUAUAAAGGGAGACUAUGUCUGAGGUGCCUGCUGUGUGCAGGGCCGGGCCGGGGAGUUGGCUCAGCUGAGUGUUAACUAGAAAAACGGGUUGUCAUGUAACCCAUGCUGUUGUGAGCCAGCUACAUGGUGAAGCAGGUCAAUGUCCUUCUCUGGUAUAAGGGAUGAAGUGGAGCAGAAUCUGAAAGGGUUAUUUUCCCUAGGGAGGCGAGGCUGUGUCUUCUGGUACCCGUUUCCAUUGCUUCCCUUGCAUCAGUUCCAGUAAUCAUGCAACCAAAGGGUGAGUCAGAUCAGCCUGAGAAGCACCCUGCGUGAAGAAAUGACAAGCAAGUUGCUGGUUGGCAGCUGAGCUGAUCCCAUCAUCACAGCUGCUAGAUCCAAAAUAAGGAAGGAGUUCGAAGCGUGCAGCUGGGGGAAGAUCAGCACAGAGUUAGAUUGCCUUGUAACAAUGUGCUUUCAAGGUUAUUUUCACAUCUAGAUGAUCUGCUCUGAUGUAGCUGCUCCAAUAGGUGUCCUGCUCCCUCUUUUCUACUGUCACUACCUACUACUACAUCCUUUAUCAGAUGUGGUAUUCAUCUGACCUCUUAAUGAGCCAUUUCUGAAAGGUACAUGGGUAGAGAAUUGAACCUCCUGCAAAUACAAGCAUAUAAGGAAAAAGGUUUUUAUGAUUAGAGUGGUGAAGUACUGGAACAGGUUGCCCCAAGUUGUGGUGGAUGCCCUGUUCUUGAAGACACUCAAGGUCAGGGUGCACCGGGCUCUGAGCACCUGAUCAAGCUGUGGAUGUCCUUGUUCACUGCAGAGGAGUUGAGCUAGAUUACCUUUAAAGGUCCCUUCCAACUCAAAUGAUUCUAUGAUUCAAAGGUGAAAUGGGUUAAAUGAGAAACACUGACUGUGUAAGGGAGGGGGGACAGGAAAUGCAGAGCAGGAGGGAAGCAGGACCUCGCUCUCUUUCCACUCCAUUGGUUCAAUGACAGGAGCCCACUUGGACUCGUGAGGUCUAAUGGAAUUUAUUUUCAAAUCAGUUUAAUUCAAAGGGAUUUAGUUUGAAGCUAAAUGCUGCCUUGUUGUUGAUCAUCAAGAUAUUAGUACAAAAUAGCUGAGAGACAGGAAACAGCUGAAGAUCUCCAGGUUAACUCAUGCAUGAUAGAGUAUAUAACUUAGUGGAUAUCUGAACAAGUACAGAUAAUAGAACUGUAAUGAGGCCAGGUAUUGAAUCCUUGCUUGAAAUUCUUAAGAUAAAGCCAAUCAAUAAUGACCAAUAGAUCUCGUCACUUUAUCAGCCAGCUGCCAGAUUGUAUUGAUGUCCUCUGAGAAGUACAUGAAGUAGGUGAGUAGACCUGCAAUUAUUUUAAGAGUCUUCACCUAGAGAGUGGUUCUUUCAUGCAGAAAUUUCAUGAAUGGACUUCCAGAGAGAAGAUCAGAAUGUUUUCAGUCACAAAAAGAAGAGCAGGAAAUGCAAAGAUCUCUAAAUGAUAGUAAUACUCAAAACUGACAAAGAUUUCACCCUAAAAAAAGAGUCGCUCCAAGUUGACAUGCUCAGUAUGUCUUAUUUGUUACACACUGACAAUACUGGCUAGAACGCUUUGAGAAACAAAGUAGGAAACUUUAGUGGAGGGGUUGUGUGGAAUGCAAACUGUAUUAAAACCAUAGUAGGCCACCUGUCACUAACAGAAUGAGUGUGAUCCAAAGAAUAAAUGAAGUGAACGUGUACCUGGUUAUCAGCAGUACGUGCAGAAAGCCAAAGAAGUGAUGUACUGUUUAACAUUUACCAAGAAACAUCAAUAAAAGCUGCUGAGAGAUUCCACAGAGAAUCCAAGACAAAUAUUCAUUUGAAAAACACAGCUGCAAGUCACAAGAACGCUAUUGUACAGCCCCAUCAACAAUCCUUACCAAACAGUUGUUUAAAGAAUGGGAAAAAAGAUUACAGUGAUAAGCCUUAUGAAAAAGUUCUCUGUAGCACUUGUAAACUCUUCUGUUUCAAGAGAACCAAAGAUUAUAGUUCUGAAAUGAUCCCAUUAGGACACCCAUAGAUGUGCUGUUUUGUAUGCACAAUCAAUGAAUAAAAGUUAGUCAGAAUCA